GGGAUUAUAGUUUAAUUGGUAGAACAUAUGUUUUGCAUACAUAAAAUCUCGGUUCAAAUCCGAUUAAUUCCA
rnacentral:tRNA from 1 species